rnacentral:rRNA from 1 species
AUGAGUCACCUAUUUUGGAACUGCCGGGGGGCGGGGAACCGUCGGACAGUUCAUGAAGUCGGGGCUCUUGUAAAAGCCCAUUCCCCAAGGUUUGUUUUCUUGGUUGAAACAAGACAGACCUGUGCUAAAGUGGAGUGUUUAAAGUGGAAAUUAGGCCUAAAAGGUUUUUCUAGUGUUGAUUGUGAUGGCCAUGAAGGGGGCUUAGCUUUGUUCUGGGACGAUUCCCUCCAAGUUACGGUUAUGGAUUCUUGUAAGAGAUAUAUUGAUGUAAGCAUUACGGACCAAGGUUCUAGACACUCUUGGUGA